rnacentral:rRNA from 1 species
UACGGGGGGCGCAAGCGUUGUUCGGAUUUACUGGGCGUAAAGGGCGCGUAGGCGGCCACUGCAAGUCGGUUGUGAAAUCUCCGGGCUUAACCCGGAAAGGUCACCCGAUACUGCAGGGCUAGAGUGCAGAAGGGGCAACUGGAAUUCUCGGUGUAGCGGUGAAAUGCGUAGAUAUCGAGAGGAACACCUGCGGCGAAGGCGGGUUGCUGGGCUGACACUGACGCUGAUGCGCGAAAGCUAGGGGAGCGAACGGG